AAGAAGGAAGGAAGGAAGGAAGGAAGGAAGGAAGGAAGGAAGGAAGGAAGGAAGGAAGGAAGAAAGAAAGAGGUCCAGCAGAAGAUGACCCAACUUCUCUUUCUCUCCUCAUACUUCCUAGCUGUGUGACCAGGCAUAUAACCUUUCUGUAAAAUGGGAAUAGUCACAAUUGCACAUACUCUCCUUCUUUCCCAGGAUGAUUGUGAAGCUGAGUGGCAGUUGGUAGGAAAGUAAGGUGGCAGGUCAUCAUCCACUCCAAAGAUACGUUUAUCCUUCUUCUCUACUCCUCAUACACCCACCUCCAGCCCUUCCUGAUCACUACCUAAGGCCUCCUAGUGCAGACAGCACAGGGGCAGCUGGGAGGUGGAGAUGGAAGCCCUGGCCUGAUGACCACUCGUGAGUGGCAGGGUCCAUCCAGAGCUGGCAGACACCCUCCCAGCUCACGUGGAAAAGCAUGGAAGAACGUCCAGCCAACACGUGGAAACUGCUUUUUCCACUUAUGUAAUUAUCCCAGGAAGCUUGCUCUGCUAACUUUCUGCAACAGUCCCAGAAUCCUUCCUGGCUCCCUGGCCCUCUCCAAGGCUUGAGGAUCUGGCCAACUUAAAAGUGUGAAUCAAGUUCAGCUGCAAGGAACUGAGCUCCUGGAUUUCAAACGUGAAGACAUUGAGCGCCCAAGAAAGGAAGCAACUUGUACAUCCCCAGCCAUUCCUGAGGGUGCUUGGCCCUGGCAAUGAAAAAGGAAAACUACAGAAGAAGAAAAGCCACGGUCUACUGUGGCUCCAAGAGCCACAGGCAUUUCUCUGCCCUAUGAAAUGCCUCCCUCGCCCCAGCCUUCUAAGAAGGUGCUUCCAUGAAACACUCAGAACCCCUCACCGAGACAGGAACAGGACCAGGAGAGCCAGCAUGGCUUCGUGCCCGAGCACCGUCAUCUCCUGGCUGCCAGUGGAUGCAGCUUCUCAGACAAGAGUCAGUGCCCACCUGACAGGGAGGGUCCUAGGAGGUGGUCUUCUCAUGGGUGGGCAGGUAAAUGGGGAAGAAGCCACUGGGCAGGUGCUGUGUGGAGCUGGAAGUCCCCAGAGGCAAAGAGGAUGACCACUUCCUGUCUUUGGCAGGGCCAAAAGUGGCCCAGAGGCUUUCCCAGGCAGAAGCUCCAUGGGGUCACUCCUAAGCUGGAAUGUAAGGAGACUUAGGGAGGCCAGCCCUGCCCUCCACCUGUGGUGAGCAAGCCCUCUCCACACCCCCACUCAGAGGCUGGCCCCCCACCCCCACUUCCUUCUUUCUCACUCUUUUUUCUUCUUAAAGUUAAUUGCAACUUUUUUUCUCAGCGGCCUGAUCUGGAUAAACCACAUCUCAUUAGAAAAAGAUUUAGCCCGAGCCAAAGCAGGCUGGAGAAGGAAUCCCUAAUCAACAGAGAAAAGAUUUGGGUGUAAUUGCUCUCUCCCGCCAUUCUCGCCCCUCCCUCCUCCAAUCCUUUUCUGCUCAUUAAUCUGAAAAGAAAGCUGCAGUCUAAUGUCAUGGUGUUCAAGUAUCUGCUGCUGCAGCCAGCAAAUCCAAGUGCUUGGGGGCCUGGGGAAAGGGCAGCUGAGGUUGCUAGGGUGUGGAUGAAUGAAAUAUAUGGGUCACUGGGGGCUGCGGUGGAAGCACUUUUGGUUGGGGGAGUAAAGCUGUUUGGAUGUACAUGUUUGUGAGA